rnacentral:rRNA from 1 species
UGAAGGCAGCCUGAUGCAGCCUGCCGCGUGUAUGAAGAAGGCCUUCGGGUUGUAAAGUACUUUCAGUAUAGAGGAAGGCGAUAAGGUUAAUAACCUUGUCGAUUGACAUUACCCGCAGAAGAAGCACCGGCUAACUCCGUGCCAGCAGCCGCGGUAAUAG